rnacentral:lncRNA from 1 species
AUUUUUUAAUUUUCUAUAUUUCUUUAAAAUUUGUUAUUUUUGCUCCAUUUCAGUCCAAACCAUACAUUAAACUAUUAACUCUGUUACAAUGUGUUUGUUAGUAAGUGAUGGUAUGUGUUUCAUUCUUUAGUUUUAGUUCAAAUAUAGUCAAGAAUAUUCUCUUUUAAAUGUGGAUAUUUCCAUUAUUUUUGUUCUUUUAUUUGUUCAUUUUUAUCGUUUGUUAUUUUUUUUUACCGUCAUUUUUGUUUUACAUUUAUUAUUUUUUUAAAUAUUUUAUUUUCCAUGUUUUUAAAAAACCCUUUUGGCUUAUUCGAAAAGAAAUAAGUUAAUGUCAAAAAAAUGAGCUCAAAAAAAUUAAUAAAUUAAUAAAUAAUUAAUAAAUGAAGAGGGAUUUUUUAAAAUAAUUUUAUAUAUCGAAGAAAACAUAGAGGUGCAAAUAUACUGCGUGGUUAAGAAGUUCACUUUUCAACCACGUUGUUCCGGGUUCAGUCCUACUGCGCGGCACCUUAAACAAGUGAUUUUACUAUGGCCCCGGACCGAUCAAUGCCUUCUAUGUGAAUUUGGUUGAGAGAAACUGUGUGGAAGCCCGCUGUAUAUAUGUGUGUGUGGUUGUGUCUGUGUGCUAGUGUCUGCGUUUGUACCCACACCCUUGAUUGACAAAUAGUGUUGGUUUGUUUACGUCCCUAUAACUAGCCAUUCGGCAAAAAUCGGGGCCGGUUGAAUAAGCGCUAGGCUUAAAACAAAAAAAGAACAAAACAAAAAGAACUAAGUACUGGUGUUGAUUUGCUCGACUAAAACCCUUCAGGGCAAUGCCACAGCAUGGCCGGAAUCCAGUGACUGCAACAAGUAAAAGAUAAAAUAUAGAAAAAGAGAAAAACAAAGGGAAACAAAAGAUGUGAAGGGAAUGUAGAAAGAAAAAUGGUGGCUGUAUUUGUGUAAUUGACAGAUGGGAACAAACACAAAGUAUCAUGUGAUAUGAAAAGGCGCAGGCAUGGCGGUGUGGUAAGAAGCGGUGAGUUGGCAGAAACGUUAGCACGCCGGGCGAAAUGCGUAGCCGUAUUUCGUCUGCCGUUACGUUCUAAGUUCAAAUUCCACCGAGGUCGACUUUGCAUUUCAUCCUUUCGGGGUCGAUAAAUUAAGUACCAGUUACGCACUGGGAUCGAUGUAAUCGACUUAAUCCCUUUGUCUGUCCUUGUUUGUCCCCUCUGUGUUUAGCCCCUUGUGGGCAAUAAAGAAAUAAGAAGCUUGCUUAACAGCCAUAUGACUCCGGGUUCAGUCCCACUGCAUGGCACCUUGGGCGCGUGUCUUCUACUAUAGCCUCGGGCCGACCAAACACUUGUGAGUGGUUUUGGUAGACAGAAACUGAAAGAGGCUUGUCGUGUAUAUAUAUAUAUAUGUGUGUGUGUGUGUGUGUGUGUGUGUGUGUGUGUGUGUGUGUGUGUGUUUGUGUUUGUCCCUCCCUCCACUAUCCAUUGAAAGCGAUGUUGGUGCAUUUACGUCUCUGUAACUUAACGGUUCGGGAAAAGAGACCGAAAGAAUAAGUAUUAGUUUAUAAAGAAUAAGUCCCUGGAUCGAUUUCUUCGACUAGAAAACACUUUAAGGCGGUGCUCUAGUAUGGCAGCAAUCAAAUGACUAAAACAAGUAAAAGAGUAAAACUGUAAAGCUACUACAAUACGUUUCUUCCGGUUUUCUACCAUCAAAUAUUCUUCCAGGCCGAACGCUUCCCUUGUUUCCAACCAGCAUUUCCGUCUCUUAAGUCACCACCCAAAACAUAUUAAUAACCGUUUCAAAUUUUAACACAAGCCCACCCCCGCCACCAGUACUCAACUGGUACAUAUUUUUAUUGGCCCUCGAAAGUAUGAAAUAUAAUGUAUGCAAAGUCGACCUUGGCGGAAUUUGAACUCAGAACGUAAAGAUCUAGACAAAAUGCAGCUAAAAAACUUUCCGGCGCAGCAGCGAUUCUGCUGGUUCGCUUCCUUCUCGGUAAGAAUGAUAACGCAAAGUAGAUUUAGACCAUGUAUUACGAUUUCAAAUUUAAUAAGGUUUUCUGACAAAGGAAGUGCUCAAAUUUAGGGGUAAAUGUAGAGCAGAGAUUAUAUAUCGACCUCAGUAAAUUGCUGGGUAUAUAUUUUAUCGGACCCUGGAAAGAUGGGGAGUAAAUUGGACACCGACAGCAUAUAAAGGUUUUGGGAUGAAGAUUAAUGCGACAAAGAAUUCUAUUUGAUCGCAGAUUACCAUUAGUACUUUAUCGAUCCUUCAAUGGAUGAUAUAACAGUCCGCAAUACUCACAAACAUAUAUAGACAUAUAUGAGUGUGUGCGCGUGUGUGUGUGUGUGUAUGUGUGCGUUUAUAAAUAUAUGCAUAUGUAUAUAAAUAUAUACAUAUACACAUAUAUAUGUGCAUGUGUAUAAAUAUACGCAUAUAUAUAUAUAUAUAUUUCUUUAUGGCCCACAGUGGGCUAAACAUAGAGGGAACCAACAAGGACAGACAAAGGGAUUAAGUCGAUUACAUCGACCCCAGUGCGUAACUGGUACUUAUUUAACAGACCCCGAAAGGAUGAAAGGGUUAGUCGACCUCAGCGGAAUUUGAACUCAGAACGUAGCGGCAGACGAAAUACCGCUAAGCAUUUCGCCCGGCGUGCUAACGAUUCUGCCAGUUCGCCGCCCUAUAUAUAUAUGUAUGUGUGUGUGUGUGUGUGUGUGUGUGUGUAUCUGUGUGUGUGUGUAUACAUAUAUAUAUGUAUAUAUAUAUGUGUAUGUGAAUGAGUGUGUGUGUGUGUGUGUGUGUGUACUGCUGGAUAGCUUUAUAGUUAUUACCAGUACCAUCAUUAUCAUCACCAUCAUCAUCAUUUAUUACAGUAGUAGUAGUAGUAGUAGUAGUAGUAGUAGUAGUAGUAGUAGUAGUAGUGUUAUAGGUAUUGAAUUUAUGAAUGACGUCAGUUUUGGGAGCUCGAGAAUUUCACAGUAAGUAUUGAAUUACUUCACAAACUGAUAUUUCACCUUUGUGUGUAUACGUGUGUGUGUGUGCGUGUGUUUUUGUGUGUGUGUGUGUGUUUGUGUGUGUGUAUGUGUGUGUGUGUGUGUGUGUGUGUGUGUGUGUGUGUGUGUGUGUGCUCACGCUCACACGCGAUGUUUUUCGUGAGGGCCGUUGCGUACAGGAAUGAAAGAAAAGUCUUCAUUAUUUUCUAGGUUUUCAAUUUUUUACCGUCAGACAAAUUUUUAGUAAUGUUUGUAUACAUAGCAUCCACCAAGGUGGAGGAAGCAGGAGGUUCUCUCACAGAAAUGGUAUUAACAUUUACGCCAUAUUAAAGAAAGCAACAUUUAUGCCAAAAAGAAAAUUCUUGCAGUAAUAAAAAGAAAAGAGUUUCGUGGCAAAAAUAGACAUUUGCAUUCUGAUGCAUGUAGCGACAAUUAGAAUUUUAUAAACAGUUUUGCUAGCAUAGCCAGCCGGAAAGAGCAGCUGGACAUGAGAUCAUGAAAAAUAUAUAACGGGAGAGGAUGAAAUAUCCAGUGAUCUGAACACACGAAUACACAGGUAACAAGAGACCGAGAAGAGAAAUGUUGAUCAACAUGUGUAGGACUCUGGAUAUCAGAUUGAAAAUAUGAAGACGGUUAUGCAAGAACGGGACACUUGGCGUAGAAUAGUUGCAUUAGUGCUGGCAAGUUACCCGACUGGAUGGAUGGAUGGAUAGAUAGAUAGAUAGACAGACAGACAGAUAGAUACAUAGAUACAUAGAUAGAUAGAU